rnacentral:rRNA from 1 species
AGGAUGAACGCUAGCGGCAGGCUUAAUACAUGCAAGUCGAGGGGCAGCGGGGUAGCAAUACUGCCGGCGACCGGCGCACGGGUGCGUAACACGUAUGCAACCUACCUUAAACUGGGGGAUAGCCCGGGGAAACUCGGAUUAAUACCCCAUAACACAGUGAGGCUUCAUGGCUUUAUUGUUAAAGAUUUAUCGGUUUAAGAUGGGCAUGCGUUCGAUUAGCUAGUUGGUAAGGUAAUGGCUUACCAAGGCUACGAUCGAUAGGGGGUCUGAGAGGAUGAUCCCCCACACUGGUACUGAGAUACGGACCAGACUCCUACGGGAGGCAGCAGUAGGGAAUAUUGGUCAAUGGAGGCAACUCUGAACCAGCCAUGCCGCGUGUAGGAAGAAGGCGUUCUGCGUUGUAAACUACUUUUGAUUGGGAACAAAUGACUCUUGCGAGAGUAGCUGAGUGUACCAAUAGAAUAAGCCACGGCUAACUACGUGCCAGCAGCCGCGGUAAUGCGUAGGUGGCAAGCGUUGUCCGGAUUUAUUGGGUUUAAAGGGUGCGUAGGCGGCUUGAUAAGUCAGUGGUGAAAGCCGUUCGCUUAACGAUCGAACUGCCAUUGAUACUGCCAGGCUUGAGUAUAGAUGAGGUAGGCGGAAUUGACAGUGUAGCGGUGAAAUGCAUAGAUAUUGUCAAGAACACCAAUUGCGAAGGCAGCUUACUAAGUUAUAACUGACGCUGAGGCACGAAAGUGCGGGGAUCAAACAGGAUUAGAUACCCUGGUAGUCCGCACCGUAAACGAUGAUCACUCGCUGUGUGCGAUAAACAGUACGCGGCCAAGCGAAAGCGAUAAGUGAUCCACCUGGGGAGUACGCCCGCAAGGUUGAA